rnacentral:rRNA from 1 species
ACAAGCGGCGGAGCAUGCGGAUUAAUUCGAUGCAACGCGAAGAACCUUACCAGGCUUGACAUACACCGGUAACGCCCAGAGAUGGGUGCCCCUUUGUGGUCGGUGUACAGGUGGUGCAUGGUUGUCGUCAGCUCGUGUCGUGAGAUGUUGGGUUAAGUCCCGCAACGAGCGCAACCCUCGUCCUAUGUUGCCAGCGGGUCAUGCCGGGGACUCAUGGGAGACUGCCGGGGUCAACUCGGAGGAAGGUGGGGAUGACGUCAAAUCAUCAUGCCCCUUAUGUCUUGGGCUUCACGCAUGCUACAAUGGCCGGUACAAAGGGCUGCGAUACCGCGAGGUGGAGCGAAUCCCAGAAAGCCGGUCUCAGUUCGGAUUGGAGUCUGCAACUCGACUUCAUGAAGGCGGAAUCGCUAGUAACCGCGAAUCAGCAGGUCGCGGUGAAUACGUUCCCGGGCCUU